GAAGCCACUGCUAAUUUUAUUACCACUCUGUACAAGGGAGGAUACAUAAGCAUCGAUGAUCUUCACUUGGCUCCAGUUAGAACAACUACAGCAUUGCCCUGUGCAGAUGCUUUUCCACAAAAGGUGUGUGAAUCAUACAAAAAUUUGGGAUCUUGUUCACCUGCUCACGUGACUUACAGCUUUGCCCACACGCACUGCACAAAAACCUGCGGAGGGUGUUAAAUAUACAGUCAUCAACUGCAUGAAAUCUACAUCUUAAAGAGAAAUGUAUAUGAAAAAUAAACUUUU
rnacentral:misc_RNA from 1 species